GAUGAACGCUGGCGGCGUGCCUAAUACAUGCAAGUCGAGCGAACAGACGAGGAGCUUGCUCCUCUGACGUUAGCGGCGGACGGGUGAGUAACACGUGGAUAACCUACCUAUAAGACUGGGAUAACUUCGGGAAACCGGAGCUAAUACCGGAUAAUAUAUUGAACCGCAUGGUUCAAUAGUGAAAGACGGUUUUGCUUUCACUUAUAGAUGGAUCCGCGCCGCAUUAGCUAGUUGGUAAGGUAACGGCUUACCAGGGCAACGAUGCGUAGCCGACCUGAGAGGGUGAUCGGCAACACUGGAACUGAGACACGGUCCAGACUCCUACGGGAGGCAGCAGUAGGGAAUCUUCCGCAAUGGGCGAAAGACUGACGGAGCAACGCCGCGUGAGUGAUGAAGGUCUUCGGAUCGUAAAACUCUGUUAUUAGGGAAGAACAAAUGUGUAAGUAACUAUGCACGUCUUGACGGUACCUAAUCAGAAAGCCACGGCUAACUACGUG
rnacentral:rRNA from 1 species